rnacentral:lncRNA from 1 species
GCUGGAGCGGCAGCGGCGGCCGGGCACGGCGCGAGGUGACGCCACAGGGCAGCGGCGGCAGCGGAGGCAGCGGCGGCAGCAGGAGACGCAGCGGCGGCCGCAGCAGCAGCAGCAAGACGGACUCGUGGAGACGCGCCGCCGCCGCCGCCGCCGGGCCGGGCCGGGUGUCGCGCGCCGAGGCUGGGGGGGAGUCGUCGCCGCCGCCGCCACCGCUACCGCCGCCGCCGCCGCCGCCGAGGUGACUGAGGAGAGAGGCGCCUCCUCGCUCCCGCCACCGCCGGACUUCAAUGCCCAGUCCCCAGCUCGCCAGCGUUUUUCGUUGGAAUAUACGUUGCACAUUUAUGGCGAUUCUGAGUGUGAGGGCAGACUUCUGCCAGGCUCAGCACAGCAUUUUCGCUGACAAGUGAGCUUGGAGGUUCUAUGUGCCAUAAUUAACAUUGCCUUGAAGACUCCUGGACACCGAGACUGGCCUCAGAAAUAGUUGGCUUUUUUUUUUUUUAAUUGCAAGCAUAUUUCUUUUAAUGACUCCAGUAAAAUUAAGCAUCAAGUAAACAAGUGGAAAGUGACCUACACUUUUAACUUGUCUCACUAGUGCCUAAAUGUAGUAAAGGCUGCUUAAGUUUUGUAUGUAGUUGGAUUUUUUGGAGUCCGAAGGUAUCCAUCUGCAGAAAUUGAGGCCCAAAUUGAAUUUGGAUUCAAGUGGAUUCUAAAUACUUUGCUUAUCUUGAAGAGAGAAGCUUCAUAAGGAAUAAACAAGUUGAAUAGAGAAAACACUGAUUGAUAAUAGGCAUUUUAGUGGUCUUUUUAAUGUUUUCUGCUGUGAAACAUUUCAAGAUUUAUUGAUUUUUUUUUUUCACUUUCCCCAUCACACUCACACGCACGCUCACACUUUUUAUUUGCCAUAAUGAACCGUCCAGCCCCUGUGGAGAUCUCCUAUGAGAACAUGCGUUUUCUGAUAACUCACAACCCUACCAAUGCUACUCUCAACAAGUUCACAGAGGAACUUAAGAAGUAUGGAGUGACGACUUUGGUUCGAGUUUGUGAUGCUACAUAUGAUAAAGCUCCAGUUGAAAAAGAAGGAAUCCACGUUCUAGUGAGAUUGGCCAUUUGAUGAUGGAGCUCCACCCCCUAAUCAGAUAGUAGAUGAUUGGUUAAACCUGUUAAAAACCAAAUUUCGUGAAGAGCCAGGUUGCUGUGUUGCAGUGCAUUGUGUUGCAGGAUUGGGAAGAAAAAGAAGGGGAGCGUUCAAUUCCAAACAGCUGCUUUAUUUGGAGAAAUACCGACCUAAGAUGCGAUUACGCUUCAGAGAUACCAAUGGGCAUUGCUGUGUUCAGUAGAAGGAAAUGUAAACGAAGGCUGACUUGAUUGUGCCAUUUAGAGGGAACUCUUGGUACCUGGAAAUGUGAAUCUGGAAUAUUACCUGUGUCAUCAAAGUAGUGAUGGAUUCAGUACUCCUCAACCACUCUCCUAAUGAUUGGAAC